rnacentral:lncRNA from 1 species
GACUUUCCAAUUUUUUCUUGUUUUUUUCUUCUUUUAAUAUUAAAUUUAAGUAGAAUAAUUUAUGAACUUAUACUGAUGGUUGACACUUUAUAAAAUUUAAAGCAGUGGUAGCUUGAGUUUUAACAAAUAAUAUGGGAUUUGAUUAAAAGAGAAAGAUAUAAUAAAUUGUCUCUAUAGAUUGAGCAUGAAAAAGAAAAUAAAAAUUAACGAUCUCUCUGCAUAAAAGCAUUCAAUAUUAAACAAAAUUUGAAAAAAAUUCAAAAGUUAAGAAUAAAUGGAUAAGCACAUAACUUUAUAAAGAAUGAGAAAUAUUUCUCUAAUCCCUCAUAGACUCCAACAUAAAAAAAA